rnacentral:rRNA from 1 species
UGGGGAAUAUUGGACAAUGGGCGCAAGCCUGAUCCAGCCAUGCCGCGUGAGUGAUGAAGGCCCUAGGGUUGUAAAGCUCUUUUACCGGUGAAGAUAAUGACGGUAACCGGAGAAGAAGCCCCGGCUAACUUCGUGCCAGCAGCCGCGGUAAUACGAAGGGGGCUAGCGUUGUUCGGAUUUACUGGGCGUAAAGCGCACGUAGGCGGACUUUUAAGUCAGGGGUGAAGUCCCGGGGCUCAACCCCGGAAGUGCCUUUGAUACUGGAAGUCUUGAGUAUGGUAGGGGUGGGUGGAAUUCCGAGUGUAGGAGUGAAAUUCGUAGAUAUUCGGAGGAACACCAGUGGCGAAGGCGGCUCACUGGACCAUUACUGACGCUGAGGUGCGAAAGCGUGGGGAGCAAACAGG